GAUGAAGAACGUAGCGAAAUGCGAUAAGUAAUGUGAAUUGCAGAAUUCAGUGAAUCAUCGAAUCUUUGAACGCACCUUGCGCCCUUUGGCUAUUCCGAAGGGCAUGCCUGUUUGAGUAUCAUGAAAACCUCAACUCUCAUGGCUUGCCAUGAUGAGCUUGGACUCUGGGGGUCUUGCUGGCUUUACGGUCAGCUCCUCUCAAAUAAAUCAGCUUGCCGGUGUUUGGUGGGAUCACAGGUGUGAUAACUAUCUACGCUUGUGGUUUUCCGCCAGGUAACCUUCAGCAAUGGAGGUUCGCUGGAGCUCAUAAAUGUCUCUCCUCAGCGAGGACAGAUUUUGACCGUUUGAUCUCAAAUCAGGUAGGACUACCCGCUGAGCUUAAGCAUAUCAAUAAGCGGAGGA
rnacentral:misc_RNA from 1 species